CUCUCCGAGACACAAACCAGGGUUUUACACAACUCCCCCCAUGCACUCGAGCUAUGUCAAUAUACACAACUCCCCCACUCGAGCAUGGGGGAAGUUGUGUGGUGCAACACAGCCCAUUAUGUUCAGUCAAUUGGUUGUAGACCCAGGAAAGGAUGCAUUUGUUAAUUUAGGGGCGACGACGAUUGUGGGACUAGGAAGGGGUAGAGCUUGAGGGCAAGGUGCCUUUAGGGUUGGAGUCUAGACUUCACCUUCAAGGAUGCAAGAGCCAAAGAUUUUAGAGUGUCAACUGGGAGUGCAAAGAGGGGGCGAGUGAUCUAACACAAAGCGACAACAUCGGCUGAGGAGAGCAGUGGAAAGGUAAUGUCUGCGAGAUUCACAGCACAACGGGUAGUCCAUCAGUAAUUAUAAGGUGUUUUCCAGAUUCCUUUAUAAAUUGUUAGCAAAGAUUUAUAGGUCAAUAACAAAUACAUAUUGUAGAUUAUGAUUUCAAAUUUAUCACACUAAUUUGUGAAAGGCAGAAUAAGAGAAUAUUACAAAUGGCCAAAAUAACAUAAAUUUCAAGAUAUUUAUGAUUAUAAAACACUGUACAUAGGUUUGGACAUAAUGUAUAUACAUGUUUUUAUGUAUUAUCUGUUUUACAGUUUUUCCCAGUAAACAUCUGCACCUUAUGACAGCCUCUGACAAUGUUGAAAUUAUGGCUUGCAUUGUUACUGUAUUCAAAGUAUAUUAGCCUUGAUUAGGACUGACGAAGAGCACUUAAGACAUUAAUUAGUUUCUAAACCAAAUUUCAGCAUAUCAUUUUAUAAAGAAUUAAAACUGCAAGUCUCUCUAAAUUGUUAAGGAAUAUUCUUAUCUAAGGAAAUCUUAACACACAGUGCCAAUCAAAAAUACUGGCAUCUUUUCUUGUGUUUCUAUUAAAAAUAAUCAGUCUGACAUUGCUAAUAUAGUAUUAAAAUGGCGAAAAUUACUAUAGGCUGUAUGUAGACCACGGGACGAGUUCCUGAAUCCAUUAUUUAUGAAUCUCGAAAGCUUUUAACCGCUGUUUUGAUUUAUAAUAUACUGAUUAAAGUAAAUCAGUAUAUUACAUAUUACAUUAAAUUAUAAUAUUACUGAUUAAAAGUAACUAACGGGAUGUAAAACAUUGGAGCGCAAACUAGCACAGCACGAGAAAUUGAAAUUGAAAUAAGUUUAUUGAGGUAAAAUACACACAAAGGGAUGAGGUAGCUCAAGCUAUUCUCACCCCGUUCAGUACAUCGUGUUACUACAUACAUAGACACACAUCACAAGCAAUAAACGUAUUACCGAACAUUCUGAGAGAUAAACAUAUACAUUAACUAGCACAGCACGAGGAUAUGGUCGUUAAGCACUGUGACGUCACCAAUGACGCUGUGUUAGGCAAGAAGGUCAGGAGCGGCCGGCGCCGCCUCAGUGUCGGGCUGACAGCCAGCAGACGUAGUUCCUUGGGAGGUGUCCCGCUUCUUACAUCAUUUGCAGCUACACCGGCCAUCAGAAGUCCACACUCGCCUGUUAUGUAAUUCACGGAACCAAUUUCAUCCGAAUUACUUUGGUUAAAACCGGGUAUUUGGCAAGUUAUGCAGAUUUGAAUUUCUUCAGUCUUGAUAUCUGUAGUGUCCAUUGCAGCAGAUAAACAAAUUUUCAGGGUCUGGCUCGACAAUGGCCACGAGUCUUCUUGAGAAAUAACUUUGUGAACGGAGUCACAAAGGUCACACAAGGCACGGAACUAGUUCUGACGUGACGUAGCUGAAAGUCUCGAUAGAGGUGGUUGGACGGUGUUGAACACGGCGCCUGACAACGUUGCAGGAAUAUCUGAAAGAAAA